UAGGUUACUCAAGACUCAAGCCAGAAAC
rnacentral:piRNA from 1 species